rnacentral:rRNA from 1 species
UACAGAGGUCUCAAGCGUUGUUCGGAUUCAUUGGGCGUAAAGGGUGCGUAGGUGGCGCUGUAAGUCGGGUGUGAAAUUUCGGAGCUUAACUCCGAAACUGCAUUCGAUACUGCGGUGCUUGAGGACUGGAGAGGAGACUGGAAUUUACGGUGUAGCGGUGAAAUGCGUAGAUAUCGUAAGGAAGACCAGUGGCGAAGGCGGGUCUCUGGACAGUUCCUAACGCUGAGGCACGAAGGCCAGGGGAGCAAACGGG